UACGUAGGGGGCAAGCGUUAUCCGGAUUUACUGGGUGUAAAGGGGGCGCAGACGGCGAUGCAAGCCAGGAGUGAAAGCCCGGGGCCCAACCCCGGGACUGCUCUUGGAACUGCGUGGCUGGAGUGCAGGAGGGGCAGGCGGAAUUCCUGGUGUAGCGGUGAAAUGCGUAGAUAUCAGGAGGAACACCAGUGGCGAAGGCGGCUUACUGGACGGCAACUGACGCUGAGGCUCGAAAGCGUGGGGAGCAAACAGG
rnacentral:rRNA from 1 species